CUGAGGGUGAUCUGUCUCAGAGACUUUCACCCCAUUGCUCAUUGAGGUUAAUUGACUGACGAGCCAUGGGUCCCUCAUCUCCCCUCAAUGAGCAUCUGUCCCGAAGCUGCCAGCUUGGAGGAAGAGAACGCUUUCCCAGAAAUAGAAACGUUUACGCUUUCCCAGAAAUAGAAACAUUUUUGAUCAUAGAUCUACAACUUGUUAUUUUCAAACAAACCUUUUGGGUUUUUUCUUU
rfam:Sus scrofa chromosome 7.